rnacentral:rRNA from 1 species
UACGUAGGGGGCGAGCGUUGUCCGGAAUUACUGGGCGUAAAGGGCGCGCAGGCGGCCGUGUAAGUCCGCUGUGAAAGACCGGGGCUCAACCCCGGGGUGUCAAGCCGGGGACUCGCACGGCUGGAGUCCCGGAGAGGGAGGCGGAAUACCUGGUGUAGCGGUGGAAUGCGGUAGAGAUCAGGUGGAACACCGAUGGCGAAGGCAGCCUCCUGGACGGGUACUGACG